GAUGAACGCUGGCGGCGUGCCUAAUACAUGCAAGUCGAGCGAACGGACGAGAAGCUUGCUUUUCUGAUGUUAGCGGCGGACGGGUGAGUAACACGUGGAUAACCUACCUAUAAGACUGGGAUAACUUCGGGAAACCGGAGCUAAUACCGGAUAAUAUUUUGAACCGCAUGGUUCAAAAGUGAAAGACGGUCUUGCUGUCACUUAUAGAUGGAUCCGCGCUGCAUUAGCUAGUUGGUAAGGUAACGGCUUACCAAGGCAACGAUGCAUAGCCGACCUGAGAGGGUGAUCGGCCACACUGGAACUGAGACACGGUCCAGACUCCUACGGGAGGCAGCAGUAGGGAAUCUUCCGCAAUGGGCGAAAGCCUGACGGAGCAACGCCGCGUGAGUGAUGAAGGUCUUCGGAUCGUAAAACUCUGUUAUUAGGGAAGAACAUAUGUGUAAGUAACUGUGCACAUCUUGACGGUACCUAAUCAGAAAGCCACGGCUAACUACGUGCCAGCAGCCGCGGUAAUACGUAGGUGGCAAGCGUUAUCCGGAAUUAUUGGGCGUAAAGCGCGCGUAGGCGGUUUUUUAAGUCUGAUGUGAAAGCCCACGGCUCAACCGUGGAGGGUCAUUGGAAACUGGAAAACUUGAGUGCAGAAGAGGAAAGUGGAAUUCCAUGUGUAGCGGUGAAAUGCGCAGAGAUGUGGAGGAACACCAGUGGCGAAGGCGACUUUCUGGUCUGUAACUGACGCUGAUGUGCGAAAGCGUGGGGAUCAAACAGGAUUAGAUACCCUGGUAGUCCACGCCGUAAACGAUGAGUGCUAAGUGUUAGGGGGUUUCCGCCCCUUAGUGCUGCAGCUAACGCAUUAAGCACUCCGCCUGGGGAGUACGACCGCAAGGUUGAAACUCAAAGGAAUUGACGGGGGCCCGCACAAGCGGUGGAGCAUGUGGUUUAAUUCGAAGCAACGCGAAGAACCUUACCAAAUCUUGACAUCCUUUGACAACUCUAGAGAUAGAGCCUUCCCCUUCGGGGGACAAAGUGACAGGUGGUGCAUGGCUGUCGUCAGCUCGUGUCGUGGGAUGUUGGGUUAAGUCCCGCAACGAGCGCAACCCUUAAGCUUAGUUGCCAUCAUUAAGUUGGGCACUCUAAGUUGACUGCCGGUGACAAACCGGAGGAAGGUGGGGAUGACGUCAAAUCAUCAUGCCCCUUAUGAUUUGGGCUACACACGUGCUACAAUGGACAAUACAAAGGGCAGCGAAACCGCGAGGUCAAGCAAAUCCCAUAAAGUUGUUCUCAGUUCGGAUUGUAGUCUGCAACUCGACUACAUGAAGCUGGAAUCGCUAGUAAUCGUAGAUCAGCAUGCUACGGUGAAUACGUUCCCGGGUCU
rnacentral:rRNA from 1 species